UUCAAACAAUGGAGAUUAAUCCAGUGUGUGAGUUCAUCAAAAGCAACCCUGAUAAUACCUCGCUAUCUGACAUCAGAACGAAUGUCCUACAACCUGCCAGUACUGCAAGGUACGAACAAGCUACAGGUUUCUGGUCAGACAUGCGUAUCUGCAACGUUUGCAGUGGUGACUGUGCUUACUUUACUCCUUCUUGCUGGAGUGGUAAUUACUGUAGUUUUGAGACCACAGGAUGCCCAGACUGAGUCUAACACAGAGCUUGAUUCCCUAAAACAAGAGCUGGAAAGUUUGAAAGAGUUUACGAGCCAGCAAGCGAAUGUAACCAACGAACUAACAAAGUUUAUUCGAUUUCAAGAAAGUGAGAUAAAAUUUUUAAAGCUUAAUUCACAGCAUUCGAAUGAUAAUACUACCGCGUUACGAAGUGAGAUUGAAUCUUUGAAGCAACAUUUUAAUGAGAGUAAUUAUCAGACACACAUUCGUACAUUGAGUUAAAACUUCACUACACUAACUGAAGUUGCCAAUGUACAACAAUUUGUGAUGGAAAAGAUUAACGAAACGAAACACAAUGUGAUGGAACAAAUUAAAAGUCUCCAGGCAUCUUCAAGUGAGAGCAUCCAAGAACUGCAUUUGUUACUUCAUGCUUCAAAUGAGACAACAUUCAUUUCUGAGAUUGAUAAUAUCUGGGAAAGACAGAACCAGGAUGCGCUUCACUGCAUGGUAAAGGUCAACCAGACACAAAAUGAAGCACAAAUAAAAACUGAAAAAAUAAAUGGUCGAAUUGAUCAACUUGUAAGAAUUUUACGUCAGAUGUGGAAGAAAUCAGAAUUCAAGUUGUUGCUAUCCUUAAUGCCACUGACCCACAAGAUGGACCGCUAACUUGUGAAAUACUUUCCCCACCCACCAAUGGAGGGGUCAGUAUAGAGGCAGGACCAAACUCACUGAGUGGUGGACUAGGCUCAGUGGCUACCUACACAUGUGACCCUGGCUAUGCUCUAGUGGGACAGAGGACCAGGACUUGUGAGGACAUCAAUGGAGGGACAGUCACCAUAGGAACAUGGAGUGGAGCACCACCAUCUUGUCAAGAAAUAUUUUGCUUGGAGCCUCCCACACUAGCAAAUGGAGAUGUUAUGUUGAGCAGAAUUCUACCUAUACUCCUGUGACUAUGGAUACGUUCUUGUCGGCCUGGUAAGCAGAACUUGUGAGGAUGUUAGAGGAGAGACAAUUGGAACUUGGAGUGGAAGUACACCAGCAUGUGAAGUGAUCGUUAGAUGCCAACCGUUGACUGAACCCACAAACGGAGAAGUCAGUGUUUCUACUGGUAUACACACGGAGUGAGCCUCGGUGUGGGAGCUGUAGCUACCUACUCCUGCAGCAAUGGCUAUAGACUAGUGGGACAAGCUACCAGGACUUGUGUUGUUAAUAGAGGUAGUUCAGGAACAUGGAGUGAGAGUGAACUUAUAUGUGAAGAGGUGAUAACAUGUCCGUCACUUGCACCUCCUGUCAAUGGAGUCCUCACAUUCACUCCUGGUGUUGAUAACAGCAACAUUGGACUGGGCUCAGUGGCCACCUAUUCCUGCAACCUCGGCUAUGUGCUAUAUAGUGGGACAAUCUACAAGAGUGUGUCUAACUGCAAAUGGUGGAGCUUGGAGUGGAAAUGUUCCAGUAUGUGAAGGUAUCCAUAAUUAAUUUAUUGUAUUAAAGGCUACAGUCACCCUAAGUGUCAGAUCUAGAGAAUUGAACCCCUCUCAGACAGAAGUGAGUGGGAGGCUUACCAAUGCAAGUUUUCUUGUAUUACUAGCUUUCACAUGCACUUAUUACUUACAUUUAGUUCCUAUAAGCCCUACUAAGCUAUUUUGUCCAGUUUAAGGUUAAAAACUCUCCAUGGCUAGCCUAUUAGCUAUAGCUAGUUAUUAAACAGAUACCGUAUAGCGGGAAAUUUUUGCGGGUACAACUUUUCGCUAUUUGGCUCCAGAGCCCUCAGCAGAAAUUUUCAUUAGUCUAAUAUUCGCCUGUGGCAUCCGCGGUAGACACAUUCAACACACGCGGUUAAACCCAAUGCUCGCGCACGCAGUUAAACAAAAAACCAACAACAUUAUUAUUUUCAGGUAAGUCUGCACAAGGUCAGAAGUCAUCGAUGCAAGUCCGGUGAGUACAAUUUGGUCCUACUCUAUACUAUGCUAGUGAUUUCAUCUAUUUAGACACUCCUCACCUGCACAGUGCAUCAUUGGCCAUUUCAGCAAAAGGAAUACGUUAGAAUGCAGACAGGAUUCCUUGACCUUUGACCGUGUGCUGCAAACUGACCUGAAAAAUUGUUUGUUUAAUUGCGCGCAUUGUGUGUCUCCUAAAGCUUUGGCGCACAAUUAAUUGGGAGGCGGGUGACCCUUCUCGGCUACCAUAAGAAUUCUAGUAGCAAUCCAAUGAUAAGUGUGGUGCAGUUUAUAAGAUGCAGAGGCGGUCUACUGUCCUCCACUAACAACCCCUGGCAAUGGUACAGGUAGUGUGACUAUCAGUUUUCUGGUGUCAACCUCCUCAGUGUGGGGUCAGUGGCUACCUACUCAUAUGACUCAGGCUGGGACCCCCACCAGGACUUGUGAGGACCCAGACACUGACUUAGUUGGAACAUGGACCGGAACAAUGUCAGAUUGUGAAGUCAGCUCUGUUGUUUGUCAGUUUGCUGUCGGAAAUGAACACACUGCUUGAGUAAACACUAUAAUCGCUCCACCAUAUUCAGCAGCUCUGUUGUUUAAUUUGUCAGUGUGCUGUCAGAGAUAGACGCACUGCUUGAGUAAACUAACCUAUCGUAGUUUUCCAGUUCAUUUUUGCUCAUUUGAUUUCAGUGAUUUUUUGUCUUGAAGUCACUGCCCCAGUUAAUGCCACCUUUAUCAUUUUCAACCACUUACCAACCCAACUUCUUGGUGUGGGGUCAGUGGCUACCUACUCAUGUGACCCAGGCUACACCCUCCUGGGAUCCCCUACCAGGACGUGUGAGAACCCAGAUACUGACUCAAUGGGAACAUGGACUGGAGCAAUGCCAGAUUGUGAAGUGAUUUUUUGCCCUGAGAUCACAGCUCCUGUUAAUGGCACCCUCAUCAUUUCCACACUCUCACAACCCAACUCUUUGGUGUGGGCACCACUGUCAUCUACUCGUGUGACCCUGGCUAUGUUCUGGUUGGUGAUCUCACUAUAGGACUUGUGAAGACUCGGACACUGGAAGUGUCGGAACUUGGAGUGGCAGUGGGGUUAUGGAAUCAUUGGAAUCUGUUCUGUUCUGUCCACAGAGGCUAAUAUGCAUUAUGGGUUGUAUCUGGUUUUCACUAACUGACACUGAAAAAUAAACACUAGUUUAUGGUCUUUAACUAGCCAAUAUGCUCCUUCUCAACUCUAUUAUCCUGAUUUAGGAGCUAAAUUAUGCCGAAAUACUAAUGUUAUAGAUGAAUAAAGGGAAGUAGGCAACAUUAUUUUUCUGGUAUACCUGGACUCUGCAGCGCUGAUGAGCAGAGAGAGAGACGAAAAUUGUACUGUUUUUUCUGGCAAGAAGGUUUGCACCAAGCAGAAGAUUCAGCCCAAUUAAUGCAGUUUUAUGAUCAACUGCAUGAGGAUCAACUGCAUGAGGCUACGUCAAUUCGAAGGUGCUAUUCCGAACAGAGCUGUCGUAGACUGUGAGGACACAACCUGUCGAUACAAACAGCUGGUGUGUCCCGAUCGAGACAACUGUACAAUAAACUGUAAUGACAUGGAACCGUACGCUUGUUUCAGGACUGGUGUUGCGUGUCCAAGUGUAUUGGGAAAUUGCUCUCUCAAUUGUGAUGAUUCGUACGCCUCCAUACAAGCUAACACCAUAUACCCCCAGGGGAACUGUAAUGUAAACUGUCCGAGUGGUUAGCUUUGUAUAUAAGAAGGUUCUGUACUGUGCUCUGUGUGUGUGUUCUAUUCUACCCUAGCUUGUUGCAAUCAAGAAUAUUU